GACGAACGCUGGCGGCGUGCCUAAUACAUGCAAGUUGAGCGCUGAAGGUUGGUACUUGUACCAACUGGAUGAGCAGCGAACGGGUGAGUAACGCGUGGGGAAUCUGCCUUUGAGCGGGGGACAACAUUUGGAAACGAAUGCUAAUACCGCAUAAAAACUUUAAACACAAGUUUUAAGUUUGAAAGAUGCAAUUGCAUCACUCAAAGAUGAUCCCGCGUUGUAUUAGCUAGUUGGUGAGGUAAAGGCUCACCAAGGCGAUGAUACAUAGCCGACCUGAGAGGGUGAUCGGCCACAUUGGGACUGGGACACGGCCCAAACUCCUACGGGAGGCAGCAGUAGGGAAUCUUCGGCAAUGGACGAAAGUCUGACCGAGCAACGCCGCGUGAGUGAAGAAGGUUUUCGGAUCGUAAAACUCUGUUGGUAGAGAAGAACGUUGGUGAGAGUGGAAAGCUCAUCAAGUGACGGUAACUACCCAGAAAGGGACGGCUAACUACGU
rnacentral:rRNA from 1 species